rnacentral:lncRNA from 1 species
AUUAACAAUUUCUAAAUCCAAAUUUUCGGCCCAAUAAUUAGUUUCAUUUCUAAUUUUUUAAUUUUUGGCCCAAUUACCCAUUUUAUUGUUUCAUUUCUUAACUCAACAAGAUCCAAUCCACUAAAUAACUCUAAACACCUACACUAAAGUGCAUAACGUUGUCUUGACUCUCGUACUCACCCUCCUAGCCUCGCUAAUAUUCCAAAACUUAUACAAUCGUCGGUCGAUAUUGUGACCUCCGUCGACCGAAACUUUGACUGUAGCGAUCAUUUGAACAAGGUAAUUUACUAGUCUCUAACAUUCCAAAACCAUUGAAUGUAUCAUUAGUUGUAUUUAUAAAAUGUUGUUAUAAAUGUUAAAAUUUUAAUUAUAGUACAGAACCGAAUGGAACCGAACCGAACUGAAC